UGGGGAAUAUUGCACAAUGGGCGCAAGCCUGAUGCAGCCAUGCCGCGUGUGUGAAGAAGGCCUUCGGGUUGUAAAGCACUUUCAGCGGGGAGGAAGGCGUUAAGGUUAAUAACCUUGGCGAUUGACGUUACCCGCAGAAGAAGCACCGGCUAACUCCGUGCCAGCAGCCGCGGUAAUACGGAGGGUGCAAGCGUUAAUCGGAAUUACUGGGCGUAAAGCGCACGCAGGCGGUUGAUUGAGUCAGAUGUGAAAUCCCCGGGCUUAACCCGGGAAUUGCAUCUGAUACUGGUCAGCUAGAGUCUUGUAGAGGGGGGUAGAAUUCCAUGUGUAGCGGUGAAAUGUGUAGAGAUGUGGAGGAAUACCGGUGGCGAAGGCGGCCCCCUGGACAAAGACUGACGCUCAGGUGCGAAAGCGUGGGGAGCAAACAGG
rnacentral:rRNA from 1 species